UACGAAGGGGGCUAGCGUUGUUCGGAAUUACUGGGCGUAAAGCGUGCGUAGACGGUAGCGUAAGUCAGAUGUGAAAGCCCCGGGCUCAACCUGGGAACUGCAUUUGAGACUGCUCUGCUCGGGUGCGGAAGAGGGAAGCGGAAUUUCCGAUGUAGCGGUGAAAUGCGUAGAUAUCGGAAGGAACACCAGUGGCGAAAGCGGCUUCCUGGUCCGACACCGACGUUCAGGCACGAAAGCGUGGGGAGCAAACAGG
rnacentral:rRNA from 1 species